rnacentral:tRNA from 1 species
AGACCCAUCGUCUAGAGGCCAAGGAUCUCUGAAUUUCAAUCAGAAGACACGGGUUCGACUCCCGUUGGGUCUA